UGCCAGCAGCCGCGGUAAUACGGAGGGUGCAAGCGUUGCUCGGAAUCACUGGGCGUAAAGGGUGCGUAGGCGGCCUUUUAAGUCAGAUGUGAAAGCCCACGGCUCACCCGUGGAAUUGCCUGGCAUACUGCAGUGCUAGAGUGUGGUAGGGGAGAGCAGAACUCCUGGUGGAGCGGUGAAAUGCGUAGAUAUCAGGAGGAAUACCGGUGGCGAAGGCGGCUCUCUGGUCCAUAACUGACGCUGAGGUGCGAAAGCUAGGGUAGCGAACGGGAUUAGAUA
rnacentral:rRNA from 1 species